UACAGAGGUCCCAAGCGUUGUUCGGAUUCACUGGGCGUAAAGGGCGCGUAGGCGGCCACCGCAAGUCGACUGUGAAAUCUCCGGGCUUAACCCGGAAAGGUCAGCCGAUACUGCGGGGCUAGAGUGCAGAAGGGCAACUGGAAUUCUCGGUGUAGCGGUGAAAUGCGUAGAGUAUCGAGAGGAACACCUGCGGCGAAGGCGGGUUGCUGGGCUGACACUGACGCUGAUGUGCGAAAGCUAGGGGAGCGAACGGG
rnacentral:rRNA from 1 species